UACCAGCACCCCGGAGUGGUCGGGACGGAUUAUUGGGCCUAAAGCAUCCGUAGCCGGUUUUACAAGUCCUCCGUUAAAUCCAGCUGCUUAACAGAUGGGCUGCGGAGGAUACUAUAAGACUAGGAGGCAGGAGAGGCAAGCGGUACUCAGUGGGUAGGGGUAAAAAUCCGUUGAUCCAUUGAAGACCACCAGUGGCGAAGGCGGCUUGCCAGAAUGCGCUCGACGGUGAGGGAUGAAAGCUGGGGGGAGCAAACCGG
rnacentral:rRNA from 1 species